GACGAACGCUGGCGGCGUGCUUAACACAUGCAAGUCGAACGGAAAGGCCCUGCUUUUGUGGGGUGCUCGAGUGGCGAACGGGUGAGUAACACGUGAGUAACCUGCCCUUGACUUUGGGAUAACUUCAGGAAACUGGGGCUAAUACCGGAUAGGAGCUCCUGCUGCAUGGUGGGGGUUGGAAAGUUUCGGCGGUUGGGGAUGGACUCGCGGCUUAUCAGCUUGUUGGUGGGGUAGUGGCUUACCAAGGCUUUGACGGGUAGCCGGCCUGAGAGGGUGACCGGCCAAAUUGGGAAUGAGAUACGGCCCAGACUCCUACGGGAGGCAGCAGGGGGGAAUAUUGCACAAUGGGCGGAAGCCUGAUGCAGCAACGCCGCGUGCGGGAUGACGGCCUUCGGGUUGUAAACCGCUUUCGCCUGUGACGAAGCGUGAGUGACGGUAAUGGGUAAAGAAGAACCGGCUAACUACGUG
rnacentral:rRNA from 1 species